UACAGACUCCUACGGGAGGCAGCAGUGGGGAAUAUUGGGCAAUGGGCGCAAGCCUGACCCAGCAACGCCGCGUGAAGGAAGAAGGCUUUCGGGUUGUAAACUUCUUUUAUGAGGGACGAAAGAAAUGACGGUACCUCAUGAAUAAGCCACGGCUAACUACGUGCCAGCAGCCGCGGUAAUACGUAGGGGGCGAGCGUUAUCCGGAUUUAUUGGGCGUAAAGAGUUCGUAGGCGGUUUGUUAAGUCUAAAAUUCAAGCCCGAGGCUUAACCUCGGUUCGUUUUAGAAACUGGCAGACUUGAGUGUGGUAGAGGCAAGUGGAAUUUCUAGUGUAGCGGUUAAAUGCGUAGAUAUUAGAAGGAACACCAGUGGCGAAGGCGGCUUGCUGGGCCAUUACUGACGCUGAGGAACGAAAGCGUGGGGAGCAAAUAGGAUUAGAUACCCGAGUAC
rnacentral:rRNA from 1 species